rnacentral:misc_RNA from 1 species
GCUUAAUGAUGGAAAAUCAAGAUUCUCUAUAAAUGGCAAGCCCAUUUAUCACUUCGUUGGGACCUCAACCUUUAGUGAGUAUACUGUGAUUCACGUUGGCUGUCUUGCCAAGAUCAACCCAUUGGCUCCUCUUGACAAAGUCUGUGUUCUUAGUUGUGGAAUCUCCACAGGUUUUGGUGCUACCGUCAACGUUGCAAAGCCUCCAAAGGGCUCAUCCGUGGCUGUGUUUGGACUGGGAGCUGUAGGCCUUGCUGCUGCU